GUAUAGCGAAAGCUAGUUGUGCUUAAUUUAGCGAAAGCUAAUGUGGUGCAAUCUUGACUACGUCAAAUAAAGUUCUGGGUGGAAUAUGAUGGUGACAUUGUCUAUCUAUGUGUCUUGACCAAAUUACGUGCCAGCAGUCNCGGUAAUACGUAAAAGANUAGUGUUAUUCAUCUUUAAUAGGUUUAAAGGGUACCUAGACAGCCUAUCAAGCCCCCCUAANAUGGUACUAAUAGGCUAGAGUUUAAUAUAAGUAAAAUUGAUAAGUACUGAGAACGUAGAGAGAUGAAAUUCUGUGAUACUAUACAUGGACUGGCAGAGGCGAAAGCAUUUUUCUAUGUAAAAACUGACGUUGAGGGACGAAGGCUGUGCAUAGCAAAAAGGAUUAGAUACCCAAGUAGUCUCAGCAGAAAAUGAUGAAUGUCAUAGGAUAGAUUAAUUUUUGUACUAUAAAUGAAAGUGUAAGCAUUCCACCUUAAGAGUAAUUUGGCAACAUUGGAACUGAAAUCAUUAGACCGUUUCUGAAACAAGUAGUGAAGUAUGUUGUUUAAUUUGAUGGUCCGCAAAAAACCUUACCACAAUUUGAAUAUAUAAUUUUUUAUACAAGCGCUGCACGGUUGUCUUCAGUUAAUGUCGUGAGAUUAUGGUUAGUUCCAUUAAAUUA
rnacentral:rRNA from 1 species